GAGUUUGAUCGUGGCUCAGGAUAAACGCUGGCGGCGUGCAUGAGACAUGCAAGUCGAACGGUAGAGAGAAGCUUGCUUCUCUUGAGAGCGGCGGACGGGUGAGUAAUGCCUAGGAAUCUGCCUGGUAGUGGGGGAUAACGCUCGGAAACGGACGCUAAUACCGCAUACGUCCUACGGGAGAAAGCAGGGGACCUUCGGGCCUUGCGCUAUCAGAUGAGCCUAGGUCGGAUUAGCUAGUUGGUGAGGUAAUGGCUCACCAAGGCGACGAUCCGUAACUGGUCUGAGAGGAUGAUCAGUCACACUGGAACUGAGACACGGUCCAGACUCCUACGGGAGACAGCAGUGGGGAAUAUUGGACAAUGGGCGAAAGCCUGAUCCAGCCAUGCCGCGUGUGUGAAGAAGGUCUUCGGAUUGUAAAGCACUUUAAGUUGGGAGGAAGGGCAGUAAAUUAAUACUUUGCUGUUUUGACGUUACGACAGAAUAAGCACCGGCUAACUCUGUGCCAGCCGCCG
rnacentral:rRNA from 1 species